rnacentral:tRNA from 1 species
UUCCCUGGUAGCUCAGCUGGUAAAGAAUCUGCCUGCAAUGCAGGAGACCCCAGUUCGAUUCCUGGGUCGGGAAGA